UCCGAUACUCAUGCUUAAAGACCAGAGGCCUCAUGUUCAAAGGUUACGUACGCACAAAAACGUGGCGUCCGCCCUUUUCCACGCUCACCUUCAGAUGUACAAAGAGUGACAUGACCGUGGAAAUGUGCGGUC